AGCACUAUUUUUAAACCUAUUGGUGGAAUUGACCACCGUGGGUUACGCUGUAGUGCAAAAGAACCUCCUGGCUCUUCAGAGAAUAGCUGGCCUUGCUGUGUUUGGCUCAUGCUCCUCUGAAGCUAAGGAACACAA
rfam:Colius striatus contig88237, whole genome shotgun sequence.